AGGGUCAUAGCUCAUUGGUAGAGCACCUGCUUUGCAUGCAGAAGGUUCCAGGUUCAACCCUGGAAUCUCUA